UGCCUAUACCGUGCCGCCGGUCGGCAGCGAUAUUGUGGCGGCCCGCAGAGGGUCAGACGCCGCACUGAAGCCCCGGUGAGUAGGGGGGUCGCGACGGUGAGCGUUGAAGGGUUGUGGGCGCGAGCCUGCCCGGAGCCGCCGUCGGUGCAGAUCUUGGUGGUAGUAGCAAAUACUCCAGAGGGAUCCUGGAGGACUGACGCGGAGAAGGGUUUCAUGUGAACAGUGGUUGGACAUGAGUCAGUCGAUCCUAAGCCGCAGGAGAAAUCCGUCCUAGUGUACCGGUGUGACUUGCUACUCGAACCCCGUGUUCAAGUUUAUGAGAGGCACCGCUGGGUCAAGGCGAAAGGGAAUCCGGUCCUAAUUCCGGAACCAGGCUGCGGCUACGUCCGAUCUGAAACACCCGUUUCAUUCGGUCGCGGUAACGCGACACAAACCGGAGAAGCUGUCGAGAACCCCGGGAAGAGUUUUCUUUUCUGCUUGAGGGACCGAGACCCUGGAAUUCCGUCGCGGAGCGAGAGGGUUUUGGAUGAACGCGCUGUAAAAAGGCGAUCCCGAAGAGCGGCGCGUUUCCGCGCCGUCCGUGGUCGUUCUCGACUGGCCCUUGAAAAUCCGGCGGGAGGGUUACGUUUUGGACGUUCGCGCCUGUUCGUACCGAUAUCCGCAUCAGGUCUCCUAGGUGAACAGCCUCUAGUCGAUAGAAGAAUGUAGGUAA
rnacentral:rRNA from 1 species